rnacentral:ncRNA from 1 species
ACCCCCGUGAAAAUGCCCUCAUCAGCCUUCCCGGCUCAGAGGUGCUGGUAUCAGGCACAAACCUUCAGCCCAUGACACCUUGUGAAACCACACCCCCAAGGGUAUACAGCAGUGAUAAACAUUAAGCCAUAAGCGAAAGCUUGACUUAGUUAAAGCUAAGAGGGCUGGUCAAUCCCGUGCCAGCUACCGCGGUUAGACGGGCUAGAGCCCAAGUUGAUAAGCACCGGCGUAAAGGGUGGUUAGGGGCCCCAUCUAAACUAAAGCAGAACAACUUCACGGCCGUGAUACGCAUCCGAAGAUUUGAAAAUCCACAACGAAAGUGGCUUUAACAACAUACCCUGAACCCACGAAAGCUAAGAAACAAACUGGGAUUAGAUACCCCACUAUGCUUAGCCCUAAAUACAGAUGUAAAAUACUACGCUAUCCGCCUGGGGACUACGAGCAGUAGCUUAAAACCCAAAGGACUUGGCGGUGUUUUAGACCCACCUAGAGGAGCCCGUUCUAGAAUCGAUAACCCCCGUUCAACCUCACCAUUUCUUGUUCACCCCGCCUAUAUACCUCCGUUGUCAGCGUACCCUGUGAAGGCCGCAUAGUGGGCAGAAUUGGUAUUACCCAAAACGACAGGUCAAGGUGUAGCUCAUGGAAUGGGAUGUAAUAGGCUACAUUUUCUUCCCAAAGAAAAUUACGGAAGGUAAACUGAAACGUUUACCCGAAGGAGGAUUUAGCAGUAAGCAGAAAGUAGAGCGUUCUGCUGAAACAGGCUCUUGAGCGCGCACAUACCGCCCGUCACUCUCUCCGAUAAUUCUUAAAAACAUUAACUAAAACAUAAUUUUGCUAAAGGAGAGGCAAGUCGUAACAUGGUAAGUGUACCGGAAGGUGCACUUGGUAAA